rnacentral:lncRNA from 1 species
GGUGUGGUCAUGAGGGGCUGGGAAGGACUUGCAUGGUGCUAACCUGGUCCUCAGUCUGGUCCUCAUGCAGUCAUUUCUAGCUGGAUCCGUGCAUGAGGAGGAAGAGGAGGAGAAGAGGAGAGCAUGGGAGAGAGGAGGGGGUCUUCUUCCUACCUGUGAUGGCUUGUUUGGACUGUCAAAGUGACACAAUUUAGAAACACCUGGGAAGAUGGCCUCCAGGAGGAACUGCCUAGAUCAGGCACGAAAUGGUGAAGCCAGCUGUAUCUCCAGACGCAGAUCCCCAUGUCCAGGCCAGACUUCUUGGCGACAGUGGCACUGAGUUUACUAGAAGCU